UGUAUCUCCCCAUGGCCCUCUCUCAGCCCUCUCCAUUGGAACCCUUCCUCUUCCCAACAAGCCCCUCCUCCCUUGAUGCAUUUAGUUGUUUUGGACCCACUAAGUUUAACCCUGGUUGCCUGCAUGAGCAUGAAUGGGGCUUAUUUACUGGAAUUGGGGCAACACCACUAAGGAAAAUAACAGCCCCUCCCCACCUAACUUCUUUCAGUAUUAGCACAAACUUUAACAAGCUAGUUGACCACACUCUUCCCAAAAACAUACAUGCAUUUAUAUUUAUCAUAUUCCCUUGCUUCCUUAGAGCAACUAUGGUCAUGUGACUGAAGAACGACGUGGAGCUUUCAAGGUGGUUCAGCAGAAUGUCAGGUGUGUGGCAAGAGCAGUAGUCACCAGAGACCACAAUAUAAAAAAUGCAUACUCGGGAUGGUGAAGAGGAAUCUGUGUUGUUGACAUCAUGGCAUGCUGGACCAUUCUACAUCUACACAUUCUUCAAUGAGAGAGUAUAAAUCCUGUCUUGGGUAUCCGCCAGAGAAGACUACUUGGACAAGGGUUGAGGCCAAUAGAAAGUCUUUAUUAGCUGGCUGGCGACUGGAAUACCGAUGUAGCCUGAGCCUUUCUCAGGGUGCACUUUUAAGCACAAAAACCAUAUCUUCUAUUGACAUGGCAAGAACCAUUAGCCAGAAGCAGAAUUACAGAAGCCAAAAAGCAAAGUAAGUACAUUUAGAGACUUUCCCAGAACUGUGGACUUGGAUGAAUUAGGUCUUUGUUUUCAUUUUGGCCAGUGGUGCUGUCUGUGUGCCAAGUUUUAUGGCCUGAAUGGUACUUCCACCAUGGAAGUACCAAGUUAAGCUGUGCUAAGGUAUGGGGGACUACUGAGACGUGGGGGCUGUUAUAGAUGUGACCAAAUGCCUGGCAAGAGGCAACCUAAGGAAAGAACAGCUUACUUUGGGUCACAGUUUGAGGGCACACAGUCCAUUGCAGUAAGGAAGGCAUGGCAGCAGGUAUUCAAGGUAGCUCGCCAAAUUCAUCCACAGCCAGGAAACAGAAAAAGAUAAAUGCUGGUGUUCAGCACUUUCUCUUUCUAAUUCAGUCUGGACUCAGUGAAUGGUGCUGCCUAAUUCAGGGUAUUUUUCCUCCUCAGUUAACCUCUGUGGAAAAGCCUUGAUAGAUAGGCCUAGAGCUAUAUCUCCUAGGUAAUUCUAAAUCCUGCCAAACUGACAGUAAUGAUUAAUCAUCACAGACCCUGGCAAUGCAGCUAUGACUAAAGCCCUGCCCAAAAUGCAUCGUGGUGGCC